UCCUUCCAUACAUCAGGCUUACCUUUAGAGGGAUGGCAUUAACCGUCAUGGGCUGGGGCCUCUCACGGUAAUCAUCAGCCAAGAAAAUGCUCUACAGCCAUGCCUCCAGGUAAUCUGGUAGAGAGGCUUCAGCCAACACUAAAUACAGUGAGAGUGAGAUUGCCUGACUGCUGCUGUUAUGUACCAGAAGAAUCCCACUGACACCCGAAGCCCAAACCUCAUGGGGAAGAUAAGCAGAGGAACCUUUGAUGGACAUUAUGAGCUAAGCCCAGCCUUCAGUUCACCAGCUGGGUUCCUGAAAAUCUUAUGCAACAGUAGACUGAAUAAACUGAAGUGGUGUUUUGGUGUUUAAAUUAAAGAUAAAUAAAUAAAGAAGAAUGAUA